rnacentral:lncRNA from 10 species
ACCCACAGAAUAUAGAAAAAUGAACACUAACGUAAACAGUUCACUUUGGGUGAUAAUAAUGUGUUUUAAUUUUAUUACCAUACAUGCAUGGCAACUUACUUAGAAAGCAUUUUAUAUAGGUGGAUUUGAGUUUAUUUAGGUAUGUAUUUUAUAUUAAUGUACAUUCCCAUAACUUCCAUAAAUAUUAAAAUACAGUAUCCAAAUAGACGGUAAACAGUGAAUUCCUAUUUCUGUCUUAACCUAAUAUGUAUGAACAAAGUGAACAACAAAUAGCUUUUUGUAUCAUUUAAACACGU